UACGUAGGGAGCAAGCGUUGUCCGGAAUCAUUGGGCGUAAAGCGCGCGUAGGCGGCCCCGUAAGUCCGCUGUGAAAGUCAAAGGCUCAACCUUUGAAAGCCGGUGGAUACUGUGGGGCUAGAGUCCGGAAGAGGCGAGUGGAAUUCCUGGUGUAGCGGUGGAAUGCGCAGAUAUCAGGAGGAACACCAAUAGCGAAGGCAGCUCGCUGGGACGGUACUGACGCUAAGGCGCGAAAGCGUGGGGAGCGAACGGGAGUUAAGAA
rnacentral:rRNA from 1 species